rnacentral:rRNA from 1 species
GUUGUAUGGUUAAGUAAUUAAGCGUACACGGUGGAUGCCUUGGCAGUCAGAGGCGAUGAAAGACGUAUUAACUUGCGAUAAGCCCAGAUUAGGUAGUAAAAACCAUUUGAGUCUGGGAUUUCUGAAUGGGGAAACCCACGUGCAUAAGCA